rnacentral:piRNA from 1 species
UGGGCUGGAGAGAUGGCUCAGAGGUUAAGA